ACAUGCGACCAUAUCCGCAAGAAAAUACGGGAUCCCGUCCGCUCUCCCUUGGUCAAGCUUGUGAGAGGCCAACUAGUAGUUGGGUCGGUGACGACCAGCGAAUCCUGGCUGUUGCAUGUU
rnacentral:rRNA from 1 species